GGAGUUAGCCGGUGCUUCUUCUGUGAGUGAUGUCCUUCCUGCCGGCUAUUAACCCGCAGGCCUUCUUCCUCACUGAAAGUGCUUUACAACCCGAAGGCCUUCUUCACACACGCGGCAUGGCUGGAUCAGGGUUGCCCCCAUUGUCCAAUAUUCCCCACUGCUGCCUCCCGUAGGAGUCUGGGCCGUGUCUCAGUCCCAGUGUGGCUGAUCAUCCUCUCAGACCAGCUACGGAUCGUCGCCUUGGUGAGCCGUUACCUCACCAACCAGCUAAUCCGACAUAGGCUCAUCCGAUAGCGCGAGGCCCGAAGGUCCCCCGCUUUCCCCCGUAGGGCGUAUGCGGUAUUAGCCUGGGUUUCCCCAGGUUAUCCCCCACUACCGGGCAGAUUCCUAUGCAUUACUCACCCGUCCGCCGCUCGCCACCAGGAGCAAGCUCCCGUGCUGCCGCUCGACUUGCAUGUGUUAGGCCUGCCGCCAGCGUUCAAUCUGAGCCAGAAUCGAACCCUGA
rnacentral:rRNA from 1 species